rnacentral:ncRNA from 1 species
AAUAAAACAAAGAAGUGAAGUAGUAGAUACUUUUUGGAAAUUAGAGAUGUUAUGGUUGGUGCAAAUAACACGAAGAAGAGUUUUGAAUUCAUCAUGGAGUUGCUUGUCACAAAAGGCAAGCUGGUUAACAACCAUUAUCUUGUGUACCAAAGUGGUCAUCAAAAGAUGACAAACGAGGUGGUAACGCGGUGAAUCAUCGUCCUCAUA